GCACUGUACCACAACGACCAUGUGUAUGGUGUUAAAGAAGUGAACACCAACAUCGCAGCGAAGUGCUCGUCACAGCAAAGCAAGCAUGCUUACGACGUUGAACUACAACAGGCCCGCAUGCUUCC
rnacentral:lncRNA from 1 species